rnacentral:rRNA from 1 species
AUACGUAGGUGGCGAGCGUUGUCCGGAAUUACUGGGUGUAAAGGGCGCGCAGGCGGCCUUGCAAGUCGGAUGUGAAAGAUCAAGGCUCAACCUUGACAGGUCAUCCGAAACUGUAAGACUUGAGUGUCAGAGGGGAAAGUGGAAUUCCUAGUGGAGCAGUAAAAUGCGCAGAUAUUAGGAGGAACACCGGUGGCGAAGGCGACUUUCUGGCUGACAACUGACGCUGAGGCGCGAAAGCGUGGGGAGCAAACAGGAUUAGAUACCCUGGUAGUCCACGCCGUAAACGAUGAUUACUAGGUGUAGGGGGUAUCGACUCCCUCUGUGCCACAGUUAACGCAGUAAGUAAUCCACCUGGGGAGUACGGCCGCAAGGUUAAAACUCAAAGGAAUUGACGGGGG